rnacentral:tRNA from 1 species
GCUCAGUCGGUUAAGUGUCAGACUCUUGAUUUCGGUUCAGGUCAUGAUUGCACAGUUCGUGGGAUCAAGUCCCACAUUGGGCU